UUUGCUGGUCUGGUGGUUAAAUAGUGUGUUAAUAUGGUGGAGGUCUUGUGUUUGAAUCCCUAUGCAGGCAAGGGUAUUAUUUUUUGCUUAGAUUUUGGGAUAGAGUUGUGUAAUAGGGGGAUUCUGAGUAGUGGAUUUGUAGCGGGAAUUAGGGGAGAAGAUUAAGGGAUUUUGGGGGUUAUCGGGAUUUUAUUUUAUUUUUUUCUCAUAAUCGAAUUUUGACUCUCUUUUCCAAAAGAAAUUCUACCAUCUAUUCUUCUCCCUUCCCUCUUGCCGAAAUUCUCUGAGUUUUUCCAUCUUUUUCUUUUUCUUCUUCUUGAUUUUCCCUAAUCCAUUUAUUUUCCUUCGUUUUCGCACGCGAUUAGUUCUCGCUUAGUUUCGG
rnacentral:lncRNA from 1 species